rnacentral:lncRNA from 1 species
GGAUUGGUUUUAGGGGCCACGGCAAGGAUUAGGAUUGCUACACUACUUUCAGGAUGGGAUUGCUGUCAAAAUAUGCAAUCUUCUGGGUUUUAUUGUUGCGCAACUCCACGCAACUCUGCGCAUGGGACAAAAUGUCGUAGUGCAUAGGAGCAAAUCUUGCGCAGAUGUCCAAGUCAACUCAAAAGCAUUCCAAUCGGAACGCCUGGCUUCUCGGAGUGCUUGUCACAGGGCUUUGGCGUAUCCAACGUGAAGUAUUGGUGCCCGACUGUGCAGCUGACCAGCUGUGCAGGGGUUGAACCAUCGGCUCACCCCUUCCUUCUUCAUCAUCAGCCCGCGUUCCCCGUGAUGGACAUUUUUACAGAACACCCUUGUUUGUCCUGUCAUACUAACCACGGCCGGAGGGUAUCACCCAGGGUUCGUCAUCUGUCAUCUGGGGGUGGGGUCCUGGCCGGCAUCUGCCUUCCGCGCUCAUUUAAGUAUGAGGAAACAAUAUCUAACUAAGUUCACAUGGUAUCUAGAUAUCGCGGGGACCCCCC